rnacentral:rRNA from 1 species
CCUACGGGUGGCAGCAGUGGGGGAUAUUGCACAAUGGGGGGAACCCUGAUGCAGCGACGCCGCGUGGGUGAAGGAGCGUUUCGGCGCGUAAAGCCCUAUCGGCAGGGAAGAAGAUGACGGUACCUGACCAAGAAGCCCCGGCUAACUACGUGCCAGCAGCCGCGGUAAUAUGUAGGGGGCAAGCGUUAUCCGGAUUUACUGGGUUUAAAGGGUGCGUAGGCGGAAGGUUAAGUCAGCGGUCAAAUGUCGGUACUCAACACCGGCCUGCCGUUGAAACUGGUCUUCUUGAGUGAGCGAGAAGUAUGCGGAAUGCGUGGUGUAGCGGUGAAAUGCAUAGAUAUCACGCAGAACUCCGAUUGCGAAGGCAGCAUACCGGCGCUCAACUGACGCUGAGGCACGAAAGCGUGGGGAUCGAACAGGAUUAGAUACCCGAGUAGUC